AUGAGAUGCGACCUUCAGUGCUGGACGCUCUUUUCCACACAAGAGUCAAAAAAAUCUUCGGUGUUCGCGCUUCAUCCUCCUUCUCCGGGUUCCACUGUGCCGAUGACUUUUCUUAUCACAACGGGAUCAUCGUCGUCGUCGUUCAUUGCUGCUUCCCACUCCCAGUGCCAACAUUUUCUCUUCAUGAACCGUCGCAGGCUUUGGAAUAUCUUCUUCCGCCAUUGGACUUGA